GCAAGUCGCGACAAUGGACACCACUCCACUCUCUGGGCUCCACCACUCUCUGACAAAUCGCGACAACGGACACCACUCCACUCUCCGGGCUCCACCACUCUCUGGCAAAUCGCGACAAUGGACACCACUCCACUCUCCGUAACAAACUCCAUGUAGCCCUGAACGGCCCCUGACGCUACUACUCUCCAUAACAAACUUCGCAUGGCUCUGAACGGCCCACUACCAAGUGGUUACAAACGUCGCUGUCAAUCAGUUACGC
rnacentral:lncRNA from 1 species